GAGCUAUGUGGAAUUGGAAGUAGUAGUUGCGUAGAUCUGUGCGUAAUAAUAAUACGCACAUUAAUUAGAUCCUAACAAUUGGUCCUUCCCUUCCCUCUAAAGUCUAACCGCUCUGUGUUCUUCCCUUCAAAAUCUCUCUCUACAAAAUACUCCACUCUGUCUCCUUCCAUCCUCGUUCAAGCCGCCGGCGCUUGGCCUUCAACUACAACCACUUCUCCUACUAACCAAAUCGCCACUUCUUUGUAUACACCUGCCCCCAAUAUGGAGCUGCCGGAGAUGGAUUCCAUGGCGUCCGCGAUCGGAGUCUCCGUCCCCGUUCUCCGCUUCAUUCUCUGCUUCGUCGUCACCAUUCCUGUCAGCUUCCUCCACCGAUUUGUCCCCGGCGGCCCCGCCGGCCGCCACUUCUACGCCGCCGCCACCGGGGCUAUUCUCUCCUACCUCUCCUUCGGAUUCUCGUCCAAUCUGCAUUUCAUCGUGCCCAUGCUCUUGGGUUACGCCUCCAUGGCGCUUUGUCGAAAAUACUCUGGGAUUAUUACUUUUUUCCUCGCCUUUGGAUACCUCAUCGGAUGCCAUGUAUACUACAUGAGUGGUGAUGCAUGGAAGGAAGGAGGUAUUGAUGCUACAGGUGCUCUGAUGGUGAUAACUCUGAAAAUUAUAUCAUGUGUCAUAAACUAUAAUGAUGGAAUUCUCAAAGAGGAUGAUCUACGUGAAGCACAAAAGAAAAAUCGGUUGCUGAAGAUGCCAUCAUUACUGGAGUACUUUGGGUACUGUCUAUGUUGUGGAAGUCACUUUGCCGGUCCUGUUUAUGAAAUGAAAGACUAUAUUGAAUGGACAGAGAGGAAAGGGAUCUGGCAACCUUCGGACAAGGGACGGUCCCCCUCUCCUUAUUGGGCAACUCUCAGGGCUCUUCUGCAAUCUGCUAUCUGCAUGGGCUUGUAUCUGUAUCUUGUACCACAUUUCCCACUUUCUCGAUUCACAGAACCAGUGUACCAAGAAUAUGGGUUCUUCAAGAAGUUGAGUUACCAGUACAUGUCAGGUUUCACUGCUCGUUGGAAGUAUUAUUUUAUUUGGUCAAUUUCAGAAGCUUCUACUAUUAUUUCCGGCCUGGGAUUCAGUGGCUGGACAGAUUCAAAUCCACCCAAACCAAAAUGGGACCGUGCAAUAAAUGUCGAUAUAUUAGGUCUCGAGUUGGCUAAGAGUGCAGUGCAGAUACCACUUGUGUGGAAUAUUCAAGUCAGCACCUGGCUUAGGCACUAUGUCUACGAGAGGCUGAUCCAGAAAGGUAAGAAACCAGGAUUCUUCCAGUUGCUAGCUACUCAAACAGUGAGUGCAGUGUGGCAUGGAUUGUAUCCUGGGUACAUCAUAUUCUUUGUUCAGUCUGCUUUAAUGAUUGCUGGUUCAAGAGUUCUUUAUAGAUGGCAACAAGCCAGCCAAGCAGGUCUAGUUAAGAAGCUACUCGGUUUGUUCAACUUCAGUUACACCCUUCUGGUGUUGAACUAUUCAGCCGUUGGUUUCAUGGUAUUAAGUUUGCACGAGACGCUCACUGCAUAUGGGAGUGUCUACUACAUUGGCACUGUUCUUCCAGUUGUCUUGCUCCUGCUAGGCAAAAUCAUCAAGCCAGCAAGGCCAGCUCGAUCAAAAGCUCGAAAAGCUGAGUGAGAACUCAAAUUGCAUCCCACCGUUUCAUCCAUGAGAGCUUUGGCGUGAGAUUAGUUAACACGGCGCCGAGCUUGGAGAAUUCGUUGGAGCUCUCGCGGCUUGGGCAGACUUCGUCGGAGUAGAGGAUGAAGCGGCGGCGGUGGAGGAGAUCCGGUCCUCUGAAAUCGGCGGCGUGGAGGAGGUCGGUCAGGUGGCGGAGGAUGAGGCGGCGGCGGCGGCAGAUCUGAUUUGAUGAGGCAGCGAUGGAUCUGAUCUGAUGAGGCUGCGGCGGUGGAUCUGAUCUGAUCGUUGCGCCGCCUCCUCCAUCGGCAGAUCUGAUCUUCGCCUCCUUCGAUUUCAGCCAUCGACAGAUCUGAUCUGAUAUGUGCUGCACGUAUGGCACUAAUAGUGCCAUAAGUGCACACUUCCCCCUAGGGUUUAGAUAUUCCAUUUAGGGUUUAGAUUAUUCAUUUGGGGUUUAGAUGUUCCAUUUAUGAUUUAGAUUAUCCAUUUAGGGUUUAGAUGUUCCAUUUAAAGUUUAAAUGAUGUUGUUGUUUCUGUAUU